UACGGAGGGAGCUAGCGUUGUUCGGAAUUACUGGGCGUAAAGCGCACGUAGGCGGCUUUUUAAGUCAGGGGUGAAAUCCCGGGGCUCAACCCCGGAACUGCCCUUGAAACUGGAGAGCUAGAAUCUUGGAGAGGCGAGUGGAAUUCCGAGUGUAGAGGUGAAAUUCGUAGAUAUUCGGAAGAACACCAGUGGCGAAGGCGACUCGCUGGACAAGUAUUGACGCUGAGGUGCGAAAGCGUGGGGAGCAAGCAGG
rnacentral:rRNA from 1 species